rnacentral:rRNA from 5 species
CAAACGACUCUCGGCAACGGAUAUCUCGGCUCACGCAUCGAUGAAGAACGUAGCAAAAUGCGAUACUUGGUGUGAAUUGCAGAAUCCCGUGAACCAUCGAGUUUUUGAACGCAAGUUGCGCCCGAAGCUUCGGCCGAGGGCACGUCUGCCUGGGCGUCACGC